AACGAACGCUGGCGGCAGGCCUAACACAUGCAAGUCGAGCGAAGCCUUCGGGCUUAGCGGCGGACGGGUGAGUAACGCGUGGGAACGUGCCCUUUGGUACGGAAUAGCCCCGGGAAACUGGGAGUAAUACCGUAUGUGGUCGAGAGACGAAAGAUUUAUCGCCAAUGGAUCGGCCCGCGUUGGAUUAGGUAGUUGGUGGGGUAAUGGCCUACCAAGCCGACGAUCCAUCGCUGGUUUGAGAGGAUGAUCAGCCACACUGGGACUGAGACACGGCCCAGACUCCUACGGGAGGCAGCAGUGGGGAAUCUUAGACAAUGGGGGAAACCCUGAUCUAGCCAUGCCGCGUGAUCGAUGAAGGCCUUAGGGUUGUAAAGAUCUUUCAGUGGGGAAGAUAAUGACUGUACCCACAGAAGAAGCCCCGGCUAACUCCGUGCCAGCAGCCGCAGUAACAC
rnacentral:rRNA from 1 species